CCUACGGGAGGCAGCAGUGAGGAAUAUUGGUCAAUGGGCGCGAGCCUGAACCAGCCAAGUAGCGUGAAGGAUGAAUGCCCUACGGGUUGUAAACUUCUUUUGUAAAGGAAUAAAGUGAGGCACGUGUGCCUUUUUGUAUGUACUUUAUGAAUAAGGAUCGGCUAACUCCGUGCCAGCAGCCGCGGUAAUACGGAGGGUCCGAGCGUUAUCCGGAUUUAUUUGGUUUAAAGGGAGGGUGGAUGGGUUGUUAAGUCAGUUGGGAAAGUUUGGGGCUCAACCGGAAAAUUGCAAUUGAUACUGGCAGCCUUGAGUACAGUUGAGGUAGGCGGAAUUCGUGGUGUAGCGGUGAAAUGCUUAGAUAUCACGAAGAACUCCGAUUGCGAAGGCAGCUUACUAAACUGCCACUGACAUUGAUGCUCGAAAGUGUGGGGAUCAAACAGGAUUAGAUACCCUGGUAGUC
rnacentral:rRNA from 1 species